AUUGAACGCUAGCGGGAUGCUUUACACAUGCAAGUCGAACGAGAGGCGGACGGGUGAUUUAUAUAUCGGCACGUGACCAGGCGCUGGGUAUAACUACGCGAAACUGUUGCUACUUACGCCUAAUACUGGCGCUGCCGGGAUCGGAUUAGCUAGUGGGUGGGGUAAAGGAUCACCAAGGCAACGAUCCGUAGCUGGUUUGCGAGGACGACCAGCCACACUGGGACUGAGACACGGCCCAGACUCCUACGGGAGGCAGCAGUGUGGAAUGUUGGACAAUGGGGGAAACCCUGAUCCAGCCAUCCCGCGUGUGGGAGAAGGCCUUCGGGUUGUAAAGUACUUUUGGCAGGGAAGCGGUAGCUGCAGAAUAAGCACCGGCUAACUACGUGCCAGCAGCCGCGGUAAUUC
rnacentral:rRNA from 1 species